rnacentral:rRNA from 1 species
GUCCUUUUGAAUUUUAUAGAAGGUCUGACCUGCCCAGUGAUAAUUUUAACGGCCGCGGUAUACUGACCGUGCAAAGGUAGCAUAAUCAUUAGUCUUUUAAUAGAGGGCUGGAAUGAAAGGUUUAACGAGGAAUUGACUGUCUCAUUUUAUUUGUUUUAGAAUUUAAUUUUUUAGUCAAAAAGCUAAAAUCUUAUUGGAAGACGAGAAGACCCUAUAGAUCUUUAUAAAAUCUUAUUUAAUUAUUUUUAUAUUAUUUUAUUUAAAUGAUUUUUUAUUUUGUUGGGGUGACAAAAAUAUAUGUAAAACUCUUUUAUUUAUUUAACAUUAAUUUAUGAUUAUUAGAUCCAUUAUUAGUGAUUGAUAGACUAAGUUACCUUAGGGAUAACAGCGUAAUCCUCCUCCAGAGUUCAUAUUUACAGGAUGGGCUUGCGACCUCGAUGUUGGAUUAAGAUUAUAGUUAGGUGUAGCCGCUUAAUUUAUAGGUCUGUUCGACCUUUAAACUCUU